rnacentral:rRNA from 1 species
GACAGAGGGUGCAAACGUUGUUCGGAAUUACUGGGCGUAAAGCGCGUGUAGGCGGCUAAGUAAGUCGGGCGUGAAAUCCCACGGCUCAACCGUGGAAGUGCACUCGAAACUGCGUAGCUAGAGUCCUGGAGAGGAAGGUGGAAUGCUUGGUGUAGAGGUGAAAUUCGUAGAUAUCAAGCGGAACACCGGUGGCGAAGGCGGCCUUCGGGACAGUGACUGACGCUGAGACGCGAAAGCGUGGGGAGCAAACAGG